rnacentral:rRNA from 1 species
UACGUAGGGUGCAAGCGUUGUCCGGAAUUAUUGGGCGUAAAGAGCUCGUAGGCGGUUUGUCGCGUCUGCUGUGAAAUCUGGGGGCUCAACCCCCAGCCUGCAGUGGGUACGGGCAGACUAGAGUGCGGUAGGGGAGAUUGGAAUUCCUGGUGUAGCGGUGAAAUGCGCAGAUAUCAGGAGGAACACCGGUGGCGAAGGCGGGUCUCUGGGCCGUAACUGACGCUGAGGAGCGAAAGCAUGGGAGCGAACAGG